GCACGGCUGUGCCUUCCGUGAGCUCAUGAGGUGGUUAAGAUGAUACACACACAUGCAAACAAGCACACCUAAGGCAGAGUGCCGCAGGAAGGACAGAGAUCAUUCGUGUGCGAGUGGUGAUCCAGCCAGGGCUUCUUGAGCAACUUCUUCACACCAUGCCAAGCACUGCAGAGGCAGAGUCAGACAAGGAAAGAUAACAGAGGGUCCUCAUCACAGCAACUUCUGCGCCCAUUGUCACCUGAAAAGGGGAGAGUGAUGAACCCCUGGGGCCCACAAUAAAUCUAAGUGCACUCCAUGAAUCCCAGGAUUGCUCAGAUGGAGUCUGGGCCAGCUAGGCCUGGUUGACCAUCAACUUAACUGCAGGAUGCACAAAAUGUAUCGUCAGGUGCCUCAGAAUAAGAAGCUAAGACGAGAGCAGAGGCUUACGGCAUGAGAUUGCAGAUCCCAAGGUCACUGGCAUCAUCUAAAGUGAAGAGCUCUGCUCAGACUCUGACUUCUGCUGUCAUCUAACACCCAGAAAUGGCCUCCAUGUGCACCCCUGGAACACGCCUUCUUUCCAUUCAUCUGGGGUACGCUUUGUACUCAGAGACACCCACACAUACCCUAGACCCACACCAUCGAGACCUUCUGCUCUCACAGUGGGACAGAGUAAUAAACCCUACACGGCUUGUCCAGCAGUUUCUGUGUUGCUGCUGUCAGCAACACAGAUGUAUCUGAGGCCGAGUCCAUGUUCUCUGUUA